rnacentral:rRNA from 1 species
GGGUACUCGAGCGGCGAACGGGUGAGUAACACGUGAGCAACCUGCCCUAGGCUUUGGGAUAACCCCGGGAAACCGGGGCUAAUACCGAAUAUGACCUGGCCUCGCAUGAGGCUUGGUGGAAAGUUUUUCGGCCUGGGAUGGGCUCGCGGCCUAUCAGCUUGUUGGUGGGGUGAUGGCCUACCAAGGCGACGACGGGUAGCCGGCCUGAGAGGGCGACCGGCCACACUGGGACUGAGACACGGCCCAGACUCCUACGGGAGGCAGCAGUGGGGAAUAUUGCACAAUGGGCGGAAGCCUGAUGCAGCGACGCCGCGUGAGGGAUGACGGCCUUCGGGUUGUAAACCUCUUUCAGCAGGGACGAAGCGUAAGUGACGGUACCUGCAGAAGAAGCGCCGGCCAACUACGUGCCAGCAGCCGCGGUAAGACGUAGGGCGCGAGCGUUGUCCGGAUUUAUUGGGCGUAAAGAGCUCGUAGGCGGCUUGUCGCGUCGACUGUGAAAACCCGCAGCUCAACUGCGGGCCUGCAGUCGAUACGGGCAGGCUAGAGUUCGGUAGGGGAGACUGGAAUUCCUGGUGUAGCGGUGAAAUGCGCAGAUAUCAGGAGGAACACCGGUGGCGAAGGCGGGUCUCUGGGCCGAUACUGACGCUGAGGAGCGAAAGCGUGGG